UACGGGGGGGGCAAGCGUUGUUCGGAAUUACUGGGCGUAAAGGGCUCGUAGGCGGCCAACUAAGUCAGACGUGAAAUCCCCAGGCUCAACCUGGGAACUGCGUCUGAUACUGGAUGGCUUGAAUCCGGGAGAGGGAUGCAGAAUUCCAGGUGUAGCGGUGAAAUGCGUAGAUAUCAGGAGGAACACCGGUGGCGAAGGCGGUUCUCUGGGAAUGACCUGACGCUGAGGAGCGAAAGUGUGGGGAGCGAACAGG
rnacentral:rRNA from 1 species